rnacentral:rRNA from 1 species
UACGUAGGGUGCGAGCGUUGUCCGGAAUUAUUGGGCGUAAAGGGCUCGUAGGCGGUCUGUUACGUCGGGAGUGAAAACUCGGGGCUCAACCCCGAGCCUGCUUCCGAUACGGGCAGACUAGAGGUAUGCAGGGGAGAAUGGAAUUCCUGGUGUAGCGGUGAAAUGCGCAGAUAUCAGGAGGAACACCGGUGGCGAAGGCGGUUCUCUGGGCAUUACCUGACGCUGAGGAGCGAAAGUGUGGGGAGCAAACAGG